rnacentral:rRNA from 1 species
AUCGAACGCUGGCGGCAGGCCUAACACAUGCAAGUCGAGCGGUAACAGGAAAUAGCUUGCUAUUUUGCUGACGAGCGGCGGACGGGUGAGUAACGCGUAGGAAUUUGCCCAGUAGUGGGGGAUAGCCCGGAGAAAUUCGGAUUAAUACCGCAUACGCCCUAAGGGGGAAAGCAGGGGAUCUUCGGACCUUGCGCUAUUGGAUAAGCCUGCGUGAGAUUAGCUAGUUGGUGAGGUAAGGGCUCACCAAGGCGACGAUCUCUAGCUGGUCUGAGAGGAUGAUCAGCCACACUGGAACUGAGACACGGUCCAGACUCCUACGGGAGGCAGCAGUGGGGAAUAUUGCACAAUGGGCGAAAGCCUGAUGCAGCCAUGCCGCGUGUGUGAAGAAGGCUCUAGGGUUGUAAAGCACUUUCAGUAGGGAGGAAAAGUCGAUAGUUAAUACCUAUCGGCCGUGACGUUACCUACAGAAGAAG